rnacentral:rRNA from 1 species
GAGUUUGAUCCUGGCUCAGAACGAACGCUGGCGGCAGGCUUUAUACAUGCAAGUCGAGCGAAAGGCCCUUCGGGGUCUCGAGCGGCGAACGGGUGAGUAACAGGUGGGUAUCUGCCUUUCGGAGGGGGAUAACGGCUGGAAACGGCCGCUAAUACCCCGUACGGCUCUCGGGGAAAGGGGCCUUUAAAGCCCGCCGAAAGAUGAGCCCGCCCCCCAUUAGCUAGUUGGCGGGGUAAUGGCCCACCAAGGCUGUGAUGGGUAGCCGAGCUGAGAGGUUGAUCGGCCACACUGGAACUGAGACACGGUCCAGACACCUACGGGUGGCAGCAGUAGGGAAUAUUGCGCAAUGGGCGAAAGCCUGACGCAGCCAUGCCGCGUGGAUGAUGAAGGCCUUCGGGUCGUAAAGUCCUUUUCUGAGGGAAGAAUGCCGGGGAGGAAACCCUUGGCUUGACGGUACCUCAGGAAUAAGCAACGGCUAACUCCGUGCCAGCAGCCGCGGUAAUACGGAGGUUGCAAGCGUUGUUCGGAAUGACUGGGCGUAAAGGGAGCGCAGGCGGCCAAGUCAGUCUGAAGUGAAAGCCCGGGGCUUAACCCCGGAAUAGCUUUGGAUACUGCCUGGCUUGAGUGUGCGAUAGGAAAGCGGAAUUCCAGGUGUAGCGGUGAAAUGCGUAGAUAUCUGGAGGAACACCGGUGGCGAAAGCGGCUUUCUGGCGCAUAACUGACGCUGANGCUCGAAAGCGUGGGGAGCGAACGGGAUUAGAUACCCCGGUAGUCCACGCCGUAAACGAUGURSACUAGGYGUSGGGGGUWUMRWSCCWUCSGUGYCGWAGCUAACGCRUUAAGUSYACCGCCUGGGGASUACGGYCGCAAGRYURAAACUCAAAGGAAUUGACGGGKSCCCGCACAAGCRGYGGAGCRUGUGGUUUAAUUCGAKGCWACRCGAAGAACCUUACCYRGGYUUGACAUMMGGKASAGSSAWGCGAAASKYKCCCUUCGGGGGMKCSKKACAGGUGUUGCAUGGCUGUCGUCAGCUCGUGUCGUGAGAUGUUCGGUUAAGUCCGCUAACGAGCGCAACCCUCGMUGUGUGUUAACAAGUGUCACACGGUACUGCCGAUAUUAAGUCGGAGGAAGGUGGGGAUGACGUCAAGUCAGCAUGACCUUUAUAUCCAGGGCUACACACACGCUACAAUGGCCAGUACAAUGGGUUGCCAAGCCGCGAGGCGGAGCCAAUCCUAAAAGCUGGCCUCAGUUCAGAUUGCAGUCUGCAACUCGACUGCGUGAAGUUGGAGUUGCUAGUAACCGCAGGUCAGAUACUGCGGUGAAUACGUUCCCGGGGAUUGUACACACCGCCCGUCAAGUCAUGGAAGCUGGCAACACCUGAAGCCGGUACCUAACCGGGAGGGAGCUGUCGAAGGUGGGGUCGGUGACUGGGACUAAGUCGUAACAAGGUAGGUGUACCGGAAGGUGCGCCUGGAUCACCUCCUU